rnacentral:lncRNA from 1 species
UUCGAAAGUGGAAUGAAAUAGUUUAUAGGUGAACUUUAUAGGUAACAUUGUAAAAGAAUUCGAUGCGGUGUUGAAACGUGAACUUACCUUGUCUCAUAGUCAAACCAUAAAGAAAAUGUAAUGCAUUUUCAUGAGUUGGCCAUGUGUAUUGCAAUAACUUCAUAAAAUACGGUGCAUGAACCACUUUGGCAAUUUUUAAUUGUUUUGUCUCUGUGAAUAGGUUUUAUUUUCGUAAGAUUUGUGAGACAUGCGAUGUUCUUGAGAUUCGUGAGACAUGCGCUUAUAUAAAAUGUAAUCACGAGUUGAUAUUAAGGUUGUUCUGGUACGAUGGUUUACUACUCGAUUUAAAUGGUUCAAAUAUAUAAUAAUGUAACCAAUUUUAUAGUUAGAGUUAAAACCGGAUACAUAUAUAGGGUGAAAUAUUUGUUACGUGAUGUUAUAAUAUAUAGGGGAAGACCAAAAAAAGAAUAAAAAAAAAAAAUUUAAACAACUUUCAUAGGUAGAUUUUUUAGGACUCCUUCCCUUUUAAUAGCAUUGAUUGAUCCAGUUAAAUCUAUUUAAUAAAUGGAGGUUUGGCUAAAAUAAA